GAAACUCAAAUGAAUUGACGGGGGCCCGCACAAGCGGUGGAGCAUGUGGCUUAAUUCGAGGCAACGCGAAGAACCUUACCUGGGCUUGACAUGUUCAGGACCGUCCGUGAAAGCGGACUUCCCUUCGGGGCCUGAUCACAGAUGCUGCAUGGCUGUCGUCAGCUCGUGUCGUGAGAUGUUGGGUUAAGUCCCGCAACGAGCGCAACCCUCGUCCUUAGUUGCCAGCAUUAAGUUGGGCACUCUAAGGAGACUGCCGGUGUUAAACCGGAGGAAGGCGGGGAUGACGUCAAGUCCUCAUGGCCCUUAUGUCCAGGGCUACACACGUGCUACAAUGGCCGGUACAAAGGGUAGCAAGACCGCGAGGUGGAGCCAACCCCAAAAAGCCGGUCUCAGUUCGGAUUGGAGUCUGCAACUCGACUCCAUGAAGUUGGAAUCGCUAGUAAUCGUGGAUCAGCAUGCCACGGUGAAUACGUUCCCGGGCCUU
rnacentral:rRNA from 1 species